rnacentral:rRNA from 1 species
GACGUAGGGCGCGAGCGUUGUCCGGAUUUAUUGGGCGUAAAGAGCUCGUAGGCGGCUUGUCGCGUCGACUGUGAAAACCCGCGGCUCAACUGCGGGCCUGCAGCCGAUACGGGCAGGCUAGAGUUCGGUAGGGGAGACUGGAAUUCCUGGUGUAGCGGUGAAAUGCGCAGAUAUCAGGAGGAACACCAAUGGCGAAGGCAGCUCGCUGGAACGGUACUGACGCUGAGGCGCGAAAGCGUGGGGAGCGAACAGG